CAUUUGCCCAAACACCCUGAAGAGGACACAGGCAAGAAAGACAACCACCACAUUCCUUGAUGAGGAGCAGCUGUGCAGGAUCUGAAACAAGGCUACCAACUGAUUUUAAAAUUCCCAAUAAAUAAUCAAUAAAUAUUUAAACUUCUUGUGUGCAAAUGUUUUACUGUGCAAAUCCAUGCCUAAAGUGCAAUGCUAAAUAAAGUGCUUGAUAAGGUGCUUUUAAUAAAGUGAAAA